AGGCGGCCGUUACCACAGCGCCGCCCUCCCCCCCGCCUCCCCCCUCGCCCGCCGCCUGCGGCCUUGCGCGGCCCCUCCAAGAUGGAGGGCUGGCGAGGAGCUUGGUAUGUGCCAUGUCUAGCUUCACAUGAGACCCUCCAAGAAUUAUGUAGGAAGGAAAAUCUGAGAUGUAAAUCCAUUGGAAUCACCAACAAGAGUCUAAAGAGUUAUGAGGUGGAAUAUUUGUGUGACUACAAGGUAGAAGAGGGUAAAGAAUACUAUCUUGUGAAAUGGAAAGGAUGGCCAGAAUCUUCAAAUACUUGGGAACCACAGAAAAAUCUGAAUUGCCCAAAACUUCUUGAAAACUUUCUUAGUGACAAGGAUGAAUACUUAUCUCGGAUGAAAGAAGGCAGAGCGCUGAAAGUGAGAAACAGUGUUAAAGCUUUGAAACCUGCAGUUGCAGAUUACAUUGUAAAGAAGGCUAAACAAAGGAUAGCUCUGCAGAGGUGGAAAGAAGAACUCAACAGGAAAAAGAAUCAUAAAGGAAUGAUUCUGGUAGAAAACACUGUGGAUCUUGAAGGUCCUCCUAUAGACUUCUAUUACAUUAAUGAGUAUAAACCUGCUCCGGGGAUAAACGUAAUCAAUGGAAUAACAACUGGCUGUGAAUGCUCAGACUGCCCUGCUGAGAAGUGCUGUCCCAAGGAAGCUGGUUUUAUUUUGGCUUACAAUAAACGAAAGAAGCUGAAAAUCCAGCCUGGCUUGCCCAUCUAUGAAUGCAAUUCGUUUUGCAGGUGUGGUCCUGACUGCCCUAAUAGGAUAGUACAGAAAGGUACACAGUAUUCUCUUUGCAUCUUCAGAACUAACAACGGCCGUGGCUGGGGAGUGAAAACCCUCCAGAAAAUUAAAACCAACAGUUUUGUGAUGGAGUAUGUUGGAGAGGUGAUUACAAGUGAGGAAGCAGAGAGACGAGGCCAAUUCUAUGACAACCAGGGAAAUACGUACUUGUUUGAUUUGGACUAUGACUCAGAUGAGUUUACAGUAGAUGCAGCUCGAUAUGGAAACGUGUCCCACUUUGUGAAUCACAGCUGUGAUCCAAAUCUUCAGGUCUUCAAUGUAUUCAUUGAUAACCUUGACCUGCGUCUUCCUCGAAUAGCACUGUUUUCUACAAGAACCAUCAAGGCUGGAGAAGAGCUAACCUUUGACUACCAGAUGAAAGGUCAGGCAUUGCACCUCACUAGAACAGAUGUCCCUCACUGACAGCGCAGACAGCGCACAACCAGAAGCUUUGUGUGCUCCUCUAGUGCAUUACUUCCUUCAGCACUCCUGGUUCAGAGCAAGGGGUUGUGGUUGGAACCUCUCACAAGGUUCAAUAGAUCUGACUUCAGACUCUGCUGAUGGUCUAAGCCCAUCCAGAAAGAGGAUCAGAACAGUCUGUAAAUGUGGAGCUGUGUGUUGCAGAGGUUACCUCAACUGAGUUUGAGUGCCCAAAGCCACAAGUACUUUGUUCUCUUCUAAAAGAGUUUUAAGGAGACUCUUCUUUCAUACAUAUGUUAUUCUUACAGCUUAUGUAAACAAAUACAACGAAAACAAGAUGUUAUGUUUGUAAUUGAAAUGGCAUUGGCCAAAGAAAGAGAUCUAGUGUUUCAGGUUGAAACUGAUAACGUGGAUUAAAAUUUAAUUUUUCUAGCAUUGUUAUUUAGGAAGCAGUAAAGUAUAUGGUCGGAAAACUCUUUAAAAUGUACCUUGAUUUGAAUAUUAAGUGUAAGCUCACAGUGGUAGGCCUUUUAGGAGCUGAUUUCAGUGGGAUAAAGUGGCGUUGCAUAUCUUCUGUACCUUGGAAAGAAGGUAUUAGAAGGCAUUCAAGUUGAGUCCUAAAUCAUAGCAGACAAUUCCUUUUUUUUUUUUUUUUUUUUUGUGGUGGUGUGUAAAAGAAAGGCUUAGAGAGAGAGCAGCAAUAACAUUUAUGGCACCACGAUGAGAGGCGUCGGACCGUGUCUAGAAGAAGGCUCAGAGGAAUGCAAACUGUAAAAGCUCCAUUGGAUUCCACGCAAGUCAAGUCAUCAGUAUUAGGCGAGUCCGGGGGUCUUAAACAUUUUUUAGCUGAUGUGUUGUUUAGAAGCUUUAUGAAUAGAAUUUCUUACCAUCGUUACGUUCUGACUUUUAGUGAAGAUUCUCUAGGAGGUCUUCAUUUCUACACAGAAUUUGUAAAUACUGGAUUAUUACUUGUAACACACACAGUUUUAUUUUCAUUGCUGAAAUUUGGCAAAGCGCUGAAAAAAAAUUACUGGCUACAGUUUGGAAAUAGAGAAAAUAAUAAGGAAAGCAGCCUAUUGCCCAUCAACACUGAUGCAUUCUGGAGAUAUACUUAGUUAUCUGCUAGGUGUAGAAAUAGCUUGGGAAUUGAUUUGUAUUAACAAUUGUUUUUGCUUAAGUUUUUACAUACUGUGACUUUUUUUUUUUAACCUAGUGAAAGAUUUUUAAGAUAUUAGGCCUAUUUUUCUCUUGUUGCAAAAAUGUUAACUUCAGUGAAGUUAGACUAGGGUUGAGCUACCCGUUUGCUGUAGUCAUUUGUAACAUGUUCUUGAAUGUAAAGGCUGAGAAAAAUACUGUUCUUCAGCUGCUUGAAUCAUUUUAUUAUUAUUAUCUUAAAGUUGUCUUGAUCUGUUCAUAAUAUAUGCUAAGUUUUGCUUGGCUUCAAAGACACUGAAGAGCACUUGAGUUCGGUUAUGAGUGGAGUUACAGCCAAGGUCCAUGCUCUGGGGAUACUCGAAGGGCUUUAUUCUCAUGGCUACAAAGCUUGUAAAACUGGCAUGUUGCUUACAAAUAAUUGCUUCCAAAAUGUUGACAGAGUCAGGCAGAAUGACGUUGCUCCCUAAAUGGAUGCUAGCUAUGUAUCAUAGGUCAGCUAGUUGCCUUUAUAAGGUGCACAGCUGUUGUCUCAGGUGAAUGAAGUCAAGUACCCAGCAUAUAUCAGUUUACUUCUUUGUUAGAAAAUGCCUUAAACUUCACGCUAAUUCCUAGCACUCCGAGAAGAGUGUUUCAGAGGAUAACACAGGUUGUCUGUUGAUUAAGAAGCACAGUUGCAUUGGCACCGAACAUCCGGCUCUUUGGCACGAAGUGUAAUUUUAUAUGCUUCCAGACCUCAAAAUCAGUGUCACAGUUGGAGCGAAGAGUGUGGGCCCCUGAAAGUCCUGUCUGACUUUUGUAAUCUGCAGUACAAAGAGAGACGCGUCGAAAUUGUUGUUUUACGUGAGUAGGAGGAAACUUGCUUGUGUUUAGAAGUAUUUCACGUGAACAGGCUCAGCUGUAUCCACACACUUGGAUAACUGCUCCAUCUAGUUAAUUUAUAAAAUGUCACUUCUCUAACAAAUUUUUAUUUAUUUAAGUGGAAUGUGGAGCUUUAACAAACUCUAGAUUAUCUUCUAUCAUUUAGAGUUGUUUGCUUUCUCUUGCGUGUAGCCCAAUUUAGAAAUGCAUUCCACGCGGCUGGAAUGUGCAACCUCCAGCUCCCGAAUCUGCUGCGGCCUGCAGCCUUUCCUUGGUACGGGAGUGCAAGAGUUCUGCAGCAAGAAAUAGAUUCCUUACCAGAUCGGUUUCUCUGGCCUCUCCUGUGCAAGCUGACAGAAUGGUUUACCACCCUCUUUGAUUUAAAAAUCACAAAUAAAUAAAUACACUUUCAAAGAUAAAGUCUUACCAGUUGUACUUGAGUUCCGUGUCUGCCUUUUUCCCCAAGGCAGUAUAUGUUAUCACCAGCAUUGAAGUAACACUGUUGUUCUUUCUAUAAGGAUAUGUAUGUUACCUCUUGUGUGUUAAAUAAAGGACCUUUAACUUAUGUUCUGGGAGGUAACAGUAUUUUGUAUUUAUUUGAAGUAAAUUCACAUAUCCAGUUUCUAACUUAGAAUACAGCAUUUAUAUUUACAUAUUCAGUGCAUUUGCAUUUGGUAACUGAGCUUAACGGAACACUGUGUCAUUUUGAAAACUCCUUCUGCUGUUUUUAUGAGUGCAGGGGGAAACUGCCAAAUUGGAAAAGAAGAAAAAAGGUAUUUUCCAUUUCUUAAGGAGCCUAAACCAGCACAGCUUCUGCCUUUGUUUGGCUUUGUGGUCUGUCAGCACCAUCAGAGCCGCUACGUCAGUUGUGUACGUGUACUUCUUAGGAGUCAGGUAACCUGUGCUCUAUCAUCUGGCUUAUUUUUUUGUUGGAUUUAUUUGCUGAGGUGGCAGAACUAAUGCUGCAAGAUUAUCUGUAAGAUUGUCUAUUUAUUUAAUCUCAAAGUUAAGUCAAUCUUUGGGUUAUUUCUAAUGUAUGUUUUAGGACUGUGUACCUUAGCAUAUGCAGUUUGUAAGCUCAGGAACAUUUUCUUCUCACAAUGUGUGAUCUCUAGUAUUGCUAUCUUCCUACAGUUUUUGACAAAAUAAAUUAAAUUUAGUUUU